CUCAAGCCAGGGGACUGGUGUGGUGCCCAGGGGAGCUUGGGCCAGGCCCAGGUGAUGAUAACACCAGCCAUGGCACCCAGACCCAGCACCCAGCUCUGCCACCCUGCUCUGGCACCCGACCCUGCCACAGGCCCAGCCAGAACCCCCAGCCCCGGCUGCGAGGACGAGCCCGAGCCUGGCAUCCUCCCGGUGCUGGGCGGUGUCAGGGCAGGCGUCCCCGGCGAUCUCCAGGCGCGGGCGUGCGGCAGGGCCGUGGGAGCGGGACGGGAGGGCACCCCCUCACCUUUCCCGGUUUAUCUUGGACGGCGGCGUUUCCUCCAGCCCUUUGUCUGUGAGGCUGCGGCCGCCCACGGUCCCCCCCGCACCCCUCCCCAGCCUUCCUGCGUGCCGCUGGGCACGGUGCGGAGGGAUGCACGCCGGGGCUGUGCUCACACCACAGGACCACCGCCCCGGCACACCCCAUCGGGCUCUCCGGGCUGGAACCACCAUGGAGGGGGGCUCAACACCCACAGGGCGGCCCCACAACCAGCCCCAUGCACUGAUGGUGUACACGGGAUGCGCAUGGGAUGUGCAUGGGAUAUACAGGGGAUGCACAUAGGGUGCAGCUGUGGGGUGCUUGCAGGCAGGGGUGCCACUGAGGUCCCCAGGGUUGGGCCAGUGUGGGUGCCACGGCAUGGGUGCCACGGCACGGCACUCCGCUGGCCCUGCUAUUGUUGCGGCCACAGCCCCGCACGGCCUUUGAAGUCGGGCGACUUCCUGCCCCAGUUUUAUGGCCCGAUCUGUCUGCGCCGCGCGCUUCCCCCGGCCAUAAAUCACUCGGCGCUGGGAGGCUCGGGGGAGCGUGGCGCGGCCGGCUGCACACCCACGGACCCGGCCCCGCUGAGGGGCACCAGCCGAGCCCAUGUUCACCUGGGACCUGCCUGGGGCAGGAGAGGACCUCGGUCUGAGUCAUACAGCACAGGGACCCGCACCGUGGGAUGGCAUCUGGUCCCGUUUCUUCUGACUGGCCACACUUCACCCCCAGCAAAAGUGCCCUGGGCACAGGCAACUGACUGCCCUGGAGCCAUCCCAGCCAGGGAUGCUCCCCGUGUCCCUGCAGGGUCCCAGGGCAUGGCUGGUGGGGGGGGCAUUUGCAGUCCUGGCCAAGCAGGGGAUGCAGGAUGGGUGCUCCUACCUCCUUGCCCCUUGGCACCGUGCAUGCUCCCAUCCUUGGGUCUGUGUACCCCCACUGCCAGCACCCUGCCCUGGUGCUGUGGGGACAGACAACACUGACCAGCCCCUUCCCCACAGCCCCACCACUCCCCACUGACGCAACCAGCAGUAAAACUGCCCACAGUUUAACAGGCAGGACCCGGGGUCAGGCUUUUAGGGCAAAUCACAGCGAGCUUGGAAACACCAGCAGCUGGUGAGG
rnacentral:lncRNA from 1 species